CGUAAUCCUUCCACUGCCAAGAGCGGGAGGUAUUCGCUGCUCUGUGAAACCAGCCUCACGCUGUGCCCUCCACUCUAGGAGUCAUGACACCCCAGUUUACAGGAGGAUGCCAUGGCUCAACUCAUGGCUUGGAACGGGCAGGCCAGAUUCGAGCCCCACCGAACUCAGUUAUCUAAGCUAAGGCAACGUUCCAUCACAUCAAAGCUCCCACUUGGGUCACAAGCCCACGUUACUGAGCUCAGCAGAUCUGCUAUGGGGAUGAACGAGUGUUGUAAAGUAGUGGUAUGUUUUCUUUUCUUUCAAUGUGGGAUUUCAUUCACACCUCAAUCAGGUGGUUUAUGGGGGGAAUCUGUCAAAGAAAACACUGCACUGAAAAUAAAAACGAAUAAGAUAUUGAACCCAAAUCGCAUUGAAAAUAAAAACGAAUAAGAUAUUGAACCCAAAUCGCAUUGAUUGUGACAAGCAUUGUGCUGGGGGGGUUAUUAGACAUUGGAGAGGAUGUGGAGUGUCAAGUUCGUGGCUCUAAUCAAAGACAAACAAUGGACCAUGGUUACGUCAACUUUAGAUGAAGAGAAAGUAGAAGGGCCUAGAUGGAUGGAAUGUGGUUCAAUUAUAUUUUUAAAAAAUUUUGAUUUUUUUUAUUUUAAUUUAAUUUUUUUUGGAUGUUUUUGAACCGUUCUGAUUUACUAAAAUUAAAAAUAAAUUUUAAAAAAUAAAAAUAUUUUAAUUUAUUUUCAAACAAAAACAUUUUAAAAAAUAACUUCUACGAUCUCGUAGAAUAAUUGCAUGCUAAUCUCAAAAUAAAGCAAGAAUCUUGUGAGGUCACGGGAUAGGAAUUCAUUCUAUAAGCAAGGUAUGGAUGGCUAGAAACACACAGGAUGGAUGGAUUUUAAGCCCUCUGUGCUACAAAUGAGAUUCCACUCUUUCUGCGAGAAAAUGCCAAUACUCUAAAGUAAAUAAGAGAUAAACUUCGUUAAGAUCUAGAAAAACCUUAAUUCCUUCUAAGAUAAUCAUAAAGCAUGUCUGGACGCUAUGGAGGCCCUCUCUGUUUACGGUCAAAGACAAAAAAAAUGAAGCCAUUUUCAUUAGAUUAUGAUUUGAUUGACAAAGGAAUCUCUUUUGCUUGACUGGUACGUGUCCGAUCUCAGCGGCAGUCCAUUUUCUUCCACUGGCACCUGUUACGUCAUUGCACUAGCAUUUGGCAACUUGUUGUGUCUUUUAAACCUUUAUCAAACCCGGCUCGGGAUUGAACCGGUCAAAGAAUUGAGCUCUAGUUAUACAGGUUGAUUUAAAUAAACCUAAAUCAACUUGAAAAAAUUAAAAAAUAAUAUAUGUUAUUCAUGUUAUAAAUAAUUAGAUUUUAAAAAAUAUUUUAAAAUGUUUUCUAAUCCACGUAAAAAAAAACAUAAUUUUUUUAUUGUGAGCAUUGAAUAUAUAAAGAGCUUCAAAUAUAAAAAUAAAACAUAUUUUUAUUAUUUUAUAUUUAUAUAAUGAACUUUAAAUUAAUAAUUAACUGAAAAAAACAUAAAAAAAAGAAUUUUUGAUAGGAUGAAAACUACAUUUGAACAAAAAAAAAAAAAAAAUAUCUACCAAAUUUUAACGGAUCACCUAAAUUCCAGGUUGAUUCAACCAGUCAAAUAAUUUUCUCCAGGCUAACCCAAGAUUCAUGACUCUGUCGAAGAUUCGUAAAACAAAAAAGAAACGAUUACAAAUUAAAAAAAGUGACGGUCCAAUUAGACCAGCUCUUCAAGCCAUGCAGAUCCAGUUGGCACCGGCCCGUAAUCCUUCCACUGCCAGGAGCGGGAGGUGAUCGCUGCUCUGUGAGACCAGCCUCACGCUGUGCCCUCCCCUCUAGGAGCCAGAACACCCAGGUCUUCACUAGGAUGCCUUGGCUCAACUCCUGGCUUGGAACGGGCGGGUCAGAUAAGAGACAGCCUGAACCCGACCUUACGUGCAUAGUCCACGUCCCAUCACUUUAAAGCCCCCACUCAGGUUACAAGCCCGCGUUACCGAGCUCAGCUGGUAAGCAUGUGUCAGGAUUAGGUAUAUAACAUUCAUAUAUUUUUCCUUUCUUUCCGAUGUGGGAUGUUCCUCUCUUACGUGUUCAUUAGGGAAAAAGCUUUGAAUGAGCAAAAAUCUCGGGGCAUAAAAGGUAAUAGAUUCAGGAAGGAGAGGAUUCUCCACUUUCUGGAGAAUCUUGCACUAGGUAAACAACAAGAGAAAUUACAUCAUGAACAAUAACUCACGUUCAUGUGUUACCAAACAGCUUGUAGCUUCAAAUCGCAGGAAACGUGGACGCCACCACGUUGCCAAACGGACUCUAAGUCAAUGCAUACUUUUUUUUUUUUUUCAACGUUGGACAAGUAGAAGUGGUGAAAGGGUUGCAUAAAAUUGAAAGAUGAUUGAUUAAUGAAUCAAUGGCAGCAAAAGUUAAGAUCAUGAACCUUGAUGGCUGUAGAACCAUUGCUUUGAAAACAACUCUUUAAUGUAUAUCUUCGACAAUCAUGAUUUAAUUAAAAACAUGAAAAUGAAGAGAAAAAAAGAAUCUCGUUGUCCAUUUGCUGUCAAACUAUGCUGUUCGAAACUCCAGGAGUAGCCUCUUACAUAAGAGAUAACCCUAAAACCAAUAUGGCUGUAACACCAGCAUAAACAGAAAAAAUGGAAGUUAAACCUCACAUUCCUGUGAAGGCCUUCUUCCCACUACAUGGAAAUAUACUACAAAUGAAAUUCCACUAUUUCUGCAAGAAAAUGCCAGUAUUUUAAAGUAAAUAAGAGAGAAACUUUGUUUAGAUCUAGAAAAACCUUAAUUUUCCUAUUAUUAACUAGAACUAAAUAGUGUGGUGUUUUUACUAUGCCCUGCCUCAAUUGUUCAUCCUCUUAUAUUUUACUGUAGAUAGACUAUGUAAAAUUUUAUAUUUUUUUUUUGUACUCGAAUUGUUUUUGGGCAAUUUAGUCUUAAUUAAAAAACAAUUGAUUUUAAAUUCUUAUGAAAAGAUGGGGUUGGAAGAGGGGAGAAUAAAAUGAAAAACACGGCAAACAUGAGUGACGAGCUAUAAGUUUCCAAUUCUAUUUUGGUACAAAAAAAUUAUUUUUGUUAUUUUUUCAUAUUUUUAUUAUUUUAAUUAAUGCUUCUUUUUUAAAAAAAAAAAAAAACUUAAUUAUUUGUACAUUGAUACUCCUCUUUUUUAUUAUGUUUAGAAAGCCUCUUUUAGAUGAAGGUGAUUUUUAGUUAUGUGUUUAAUUUUUGAAAAUAUUUUUCUAAUUCAUCUAUGAUAUAUAUUUUUUUAUCUUUUUUAUAGAUGAACUAUAUUUUUAAAAAUAAAAAAUAUUAAUUUUCAGAUGAUAUUUUCAAUAUGUGUAGCCUUGUAUAUUAUUCAUGUUCUCCUUUUAUUUUAUUCAAUCAAUUUAAUAUGUUUGUCUAUUUUUAUUAUCAUUUGAUUAAAUAAAAAAUAUUUUAAUAAAUAAAAAUUAGCAAACAUGAUCGGGUUGAAGUCCCGUUUUACGAGAUUAAAUAUCUUAAUCUAAAUCUGCUACGAUUUUUCUAGUUUUAUGUUUAGAUGUUGUUAAUUAUUAUUUAUUAGAGUACAUAGUUUUCAAUUUAUUUAAUUAUAUCCGUGAAUAAAUUUUUUGAAUUGCAUAUACAUUUUUUUAUUUAUAAAAAUACAUAGAGAAACUUGUAUAUAAAAAAUAAAAAUAUUUAUUCAUGGACAAGUACAAGUUACAUAACUAGUGAUAAUCAUAAAACAUGUCAUGAUGCCAUGGUGGCACUCACUGUAUAUGGUCAAAGACAAAAAAAUGAAGCCAUUUUCAUUAGAUUAUGAUUUGAUUGACAAAGGAAUCUUUUUUGGCUGACUGGUACUAUCUCAGGCAGCAGUCCAUUUUCUUCCACCUUCCACUGAGUCACUGACAGCUGAUGUGCCAUGCUCAUUUCGGGUAGUUGGUAUAAAAACAAAAAUCAAAAACUUAAUCGAACCGCUAUGCCAAAUGGACUCUGAACCAUGAAUUGGGUCACCUGUUACGUCAUUGCUAGUUUUAAACCGCUAUGUUGAACAUAUAAACAAAAAAAAUGAUAAAAGUGAUGGUUCAAUUAGAUCAGCCCAUCAGGCCAUGCGGAUCCAGGUGGCACCGGCCCGUAAUCCUUCCACUGCCAGGAGCGGGAAGUGAUCGCUGCUCUGUGAGACCAGCCUCACGCUGUGCCCUCCCCUCUAGGAGCCACGACACCCAGGUCUUCACUAGGAUGCCUUGGCUCAACUCCUGGCUUGGAACGGGCGGGCCAGAUAAGAAACAGCCUGAACCCGACCUUACGUGCAUAGUCCACGUCCCAUCACUUUAAAGCCCCCACUCGGGUUACAAGCCCGCGUUACCGAGCUCAGCUGGUAAGCGUGUGUCAGGGUUAGUUUUAUAAAGUUCAAAUAUUG
rnacentral:lncRNA from 1 species